rnacentral:lncRNA from 1 species
AUGGCCCAGGAGCAUCCAUCAGACCUUUCCCCCACCAGCCCACACUGCUCCAGUUUGGGGUGCUCAGCCACCAGUUUGGGGUCUGCCUUGCCCCAGUUUGCACCCCCCAGCCUCAAUUAUCCCAUUUUGGGGCAUGCAGUGAGGGCUCAGCCCUGCUCUGCAGCACCCAUAUCCCAUCCCAUGCCCCAUGGACCAGCACCAUCCCCACCGUACAGGUCCAGCCCCAGCAGGAUGGUCCCUAAGUCCCCAACUCGUUUCCAUGGCAGCUCAACUGGCUCUUCGGUUUCCAUGGCAAUGAGGUUUUUCCCUUCCCAUCAUGAUGCUGGGGAGUUCCCAUGGCAGCUCCCCCUAGUUUGGGACCCCCCAGUUCCCUCAGCAGCUCUGCCCAGUGAGCAAACCAGUACAACCAGUGCCUUCCCUGCACGGGCAGGAUGCGGGACCCAAGCCUGCUGCGAGCACGGGGGACGCUCUCCUAACUCACAGGGAGACAACAUCAAUUUUUCUUCCUUCUGCCACCCCCUCACACCCAUCCCUGGUGGUUUCCUGCUGCUGGCGGCUGGAGCUGUGGCUGCGGAUGCCUGGCAGGAGCUGGACGGGAGACGUGAGAGGCGCUGGCGCGGAGGCUGUGGGGUCCCCGGGGGAUGGAGAGGAAGAGGCUGGCGGCGGCUCUGCGGGGAGACGGGGUUCAGAUCCUGGCUGCUUUCCUCCACCAUCAGCAGGACAGGGGCAGAAUGCUCCAAGCCACUUUUCUCCUGGCUUUCCAAAGCCAGCACUCGGCAGCAGGGCAUCAUCAACGCAUUUUGUCCACCCUUGCAGGCAGCAUUGGCACCUGCACUGCGUGGCCAUGACUUGGGAUCACACCCCACAGAAACACCUAACCCUCCCCAAAUCCUCCUCCAGCUCUCCCCAUCCUCCCCAACUUUAUUUUUACCUCCUUUCCAGAAAAUCUGGGUGCUGGACUGCAACGUUGCCCAGGCCGGGGAUGCUCCAUCCCCCCGUGCAGGUGCUGAUGGCAGAAGCUGCAGCCUCAGCACUUCUGCUCCGCGCUGUCAAAGGGUCCUUGGUAUUUCUUUGCCUGCCUGGGGAGCGGUAUUGAACAGUCCCUAUCUCUCCUGAGAAAGUAUUGAGCUGGAGUUUUAAUGGCUUUCCAUUAACAAGCCACAAUAGGUGUCACUGGGAAUUAUUGCUUGAUCUGAUAAGAAAGGGAACAUUCAGUCCCACGGCUUCGAAAGGGGUUUUCACCCCCUCCCCAAAUUCUUUCUUCCAGAGGAAGAAAAAAAAAAGAAAAAGAAAUAGAAAAAGAAAAAGAAAAAGAAAGGGAAAAAGAAAAAAGGCAAACAAUUUCACCGCUCUUUUCACUUGGUAAGGUUGAGGACAGAUUUUCAAUUUGUUAACUUUCUUUAUGGCUCUGCGUUUGCCAAAAGGAGCAAGAGAUGAGGGAAAGAGACAGGAGAUUAAAUACACGAGUUUAUUUUGGGAAGGCCUUCUAAAGGAAGGGGGGGGGGGAA